rnacentral:rRNA from 1 species
CGCGAAUCGCCCUUCGGGGUGCAGCAGGCGCGAAAACUUUACAAUGCGGGAAACCGUGAUAAGGGGACACCGAGUGCCAGCAUCAUAUGCUGGCUGUCCGGGUGUGUAAAAUACACCUGUUAGCAAGGGCCGGGCAAGACCGGUGCCAGCCGCCGCGGUAACACCGGCGGCCCGAGUGGUGAUCGUGAUUAUUGGGUCUAAAGGGUCCGUAGCCGGUUUGGUCAGUCCUCCGGGAAAUCUGAUAGCUCAACUAUUAGGCUUUCGGGGGAUACUGCCAGACUUGGAACCGGGAGAGGUAAGAGGUACUACAGGGGUAGGAGUGAAAUCUUGUUAUCCCUGUGGGACCACCUGUGGCGAAGGCGUCUUACCAGAACGGGUUCGACGGUGAGGGACGAAAGCUGGGGGCACGAACCGGAUUAGAUACCCGGGUAGUCCCAGCCGUAAACGAUGCUCGCUAGGUGUCAGGCAUGGCGCGACCGUGUCUGGUGCCGCAGGGAAGCCGUGAAGCGAGCCACCUGGGAAGUACGGCCGCGAGGCUGAAACUUAAAGGAAUUGGCGGGGGAGCAC